ACAAAAGGGGAGCUCGUGGAGCGGGCUGAGAGGAAGCGGACUACGUUUCGACCCUGGACCUGAUUUGGAUAAUGCCAACGUAGGGAAAGAG
rnacentral:ncRNA from 1 species